rnacentral:lncRNA from 1 species
UGGACGAGAUUGAUCGCGAUGGACGGUCCAAAUCAGCAUGAGAUAGUUAUAAAUAUUUUCCAUCACACAGGAACCUAAACUCUAGUCGCCAGCCCCCGCAAGAGAAUAACCAAACGCCGGAGAAGGAGGUCAACUGCCGACCACCGACCGCUGCCACAUCGGAGCCAUCGCUGACCACCAAAAAUGGUAAAAAUUCUCCCUACCCAUCAGAAUUCAAUUCCGAGUACCUCUGUGGCUAAAUCAGAGCAAGAGAGACAGCAGGUGAGCCAAAAACUGCAGGCAAAGCCUGACGGAGCUGUCGCGGCUAAAACUCUUAAAUCCCUCC